rnacentral:lncRNA from 1 species
GAAUGAUCAGGGAAGACAUGACUGAAAUGAUGCUUUCUGGGUAAAGAUUGAAGGAUAUGAGGAGAGGGUCAUGUAGCUGUUUGAUCGAAGAGCAUUCUUGGCAGAGGAAAUGCCAGGCCAAAGUCUCUAUGGCAGGACUACACUAGGUGAGUUCAAGGAAGAGUGGGGAAGUCACUAGGUCUGAAGAGAAGUGAGUGUGCAAAGGUUAGAAGGUGGUUAGAAAGGGACCUGGGGACAGAUGGUGUAGGACAGGAGACCGUGAUACAAUUCAGCUUAGACUGAAUGGGUUGGGGCACUGCUGCAGCAUUUUGAUCAGCACAGUGAUGUGAUCCAUUUAGGAUCAUAUGGUGACUGGGUAAUUAUGACAUAGAAGGAGGGAUAUUCAUUAGGUUGUGAUUGCAAGUCUUCAGGGAAGACACGCCAGUGACUCAGAGGAGGAGAGAUAAAAUGUUCUACAGGAAUCAAAGCUUGUCAUUCACUCAGGCCCUCACUUGGUGGCAGUAUGUUAGAGAAGACUGCUUGUUCCAGAGCCUGGUUCUCAGCUUUGCAAUCUACAGAUGGUUCAUUCUAGCCACGUGUGCAAGGAUGUGAUAUACUAGAGUGCACAUUGAUUACUUGAACUUCCUUGAAAUAUCAUUUUCAAGACAAGACUACUAAGGACUAAUCUUCAUCAUCAUCAUCAUCAUUAACAUAAUCACAGCUGACAUUUACUGAACAUUAGCAAUGUGGUAAGCACUGCAGUAGGAGUUUUCACGUGUCUACUCAUGUAAUCCUCAAUGCAACCUUAAAGAAGACUACAAUGCCAGCAUCUGGGAUAACUACUAGAAUGUUCUCUGCCAUCCACUAAGCAUUGAAUCCCUCCAGACACUGUUACAACAGACAAAAACCUGUACUGGGCUA